rnacentral:rRNA from 1 species
UACAGGGGGGGCAAGCGUUGUUCGGAAUUACUGGGCGUAAAGCGUGCGUAGACGGUUAUGUAAGUCAGGUGUGAAAGCCCAGGGCUCAACCUGGGAAUGCCAUUUGAGACUGCAUAGCUAGGGUACGGAAGAGGGAAGCGGAAUUUCAGGUGUAGCGGUGAAAUGCGUAGAUAUCUGAAGGAACACCAGUGGCGAAAGCGGCUUCCUGGUCCAGUACCGACGUUCAGGCACGAAAGCGUGGGGAGCAAACAGG